GGUUAAGUGACGAAGCGUAGACGGUGGAUGCCUAGGCAGUUGGAGGCGAUGAAGGACGUACUAACUUGCGAUAAGCCAUGAUGAGGCAGUAAGAGCCGCUUGAGUCAUGGAUUUCCGAAUGGGGCAACCCAGUGUGCUUGCACACUAUCUUGCACUGAAUACAUAGGUGUAAGAGGCAAACCCGGAGAACUGAAACAUCUAAGUACCCGGAGGAAAAGAAAUCAACCGAGAUUUCCCUAGUAGCGGCGAGCGAACGGGAA
rnacentral:ncRNA from 1 species